AAUUUUAAGGACAGCUUCAUCUUCUCUUUAACGAAUCUGAUCGGUAAAUUCAAGGAGGAAACUUUUGUAUUGCUUCUUCCAGGUACAGCAAGGAAGAGAAGAAAAGAUGAACACCUGCCCUAAACAAUAAAGCAGCACAAGCAUAAGCUAUGUACGGUGCAGUAAACAAAACAGAGACGUAAUACAUUCAAGUAAGAGCCAACAGGAUUCAACACAAAAGAAAGUAUUGUCAAUUUUUCUAGUGGAUAAAAGUUGAUAUGUCAAAAGGCUGAUGAAACUACAUACUGGUCAGGAAUGAACAAAGAGAAUAUACAUGCUACUGGCCCUGCUCUGAGUCAAUGGAUAGCUUUCUAGUGAGGCAUUAAGAAUUAUCUGGAAAGGCCAAGAGGAUGAUAGCCUAAAAAAUGACAGCAGGCUUGGCUUGUAUAACUGAAGCCCUUCAGUGAAAUUCUUUCAUGGUAGAUUGGCAAAGAACGUACGGAGUCAUUUUGAAGGGAUAUAUGGUAAUGGAUGAGAAGAAGCGAUCACUUCAGGCACUUAACGACUGAUGAAAGUGGGACAGUUUGCUUCAAAUGAUUCAGAAGCAUAAAUAGGACUAACAUAAUUGAAUGGGCUUUUCCCCUAUUCUGGGAGAAUGAGCAUCAAUUCCAUCUUUUUUGGAGGAAUUAAACAAAGGUGUGAACAACUGAAGAGAAGGAGCGUGGAGUCCUCUCCCAAGGAGAGCCUGAGUAGCCAGGUCAUAUCCUUAAUGCUCAUUGAAAAGGAAAUCUGGGGGAUGCUCAGCAGUUAAAUGUCUGCCUUCAGCCCAGGGCGUGAUCCUGGAGUCUUGGGAUCGAGUCCCACUUUGGGCUCCCUGCAUGGAGCCUGCUUCUCCCUCCGCCUGUGUCUCUG
rnacentral:lncRNA from 1 species